AAAGACAAAAUGAAUAAAAAUUUCAAAUAUAAAAUGGAAAAAACUUUUAGUUUAGAAUGUACAAAGAAAAAAAAAUAACAAAUAGAGGAAAAAGAUAUAAAAUAUGAAAGAUGAAAAAUAAAAUAAAAGUUAAUAAAAAAUAUAAAAUUAUAAAGAAGAAAUAAAAAAAAGUGUGAACAAAAAGAUUUAAGAAAAAGCAAGAAAAAAUAAAAAACGAAAAUACAAAAUAUAUAAAAUAAAAUUUGAGAAAAAAAAUAAAAAAUGAAGAGGCAAAAAUAUGAAAGAAAACAAAAAGAAAAAAAUUUAUAGAAAAUUUUAAAAGAAAGAAAAAAGUGAACAAAAAAAAUGAAAGCACAUAAAAAAAAGAAGAAAAAUUUGAAAAGAGAAAAAGUUAAUGAAAAAUUAUAAAAAUGCAAUAGAAAAUAACCAGGAAUGAUAAAAGAAAAAAAGAUAGAAAAAAAAUUCCAAAACUUUAUAAAAAUUUAUGAAACUAUAAAUAAAGAAAGAAAAUAAAAAAAGAAAAAAGAUAAAUAAAGCACAAAAAAAGGAAAAAGUAAGAAAAUUAAAAAGGACAAAAAUUGAAUAAAAAAUUAGUUUAAAAAAUACAAAAAAUUGAAAAACAUAUAAGACCUAACAUUAUAAAAAGUAAGACAAAAAAUUAAAAAAGAGAAAAGUGAAUGCAAAAUAAAAAAAGUAUGAGAAUUUAAAAACGCAAAUAAGGAAUGAAAGGAAAUUUGUGAAAAAAAAAAAAGAAAAGCAAGAAAAGACAAGAUUUGGAAUAAAAAACAGAAAAAUAAAAAUUUUUAAAACAACGAAAAAAUAAAAACAAGUAAAAAUGAAAGCAUAUGAAAAAAAAAAAAGCAAAAAGAAGGAAAAUUGUGAAGGGAAAAAGUUAUUAAAAAAUUAUAAAGUAGAAAAAAUAGCAAAAAAAAUAAGAAAACAAAAAAGAUUCAAAAAAUAAAAAUAAAAAAUUUUAAACUUUAUAAAAAUUUUUUAAAAUAAAAAUAAAUGAAAAAUAAAUUAAGAGAAAAAAUUAAAUAAAAUACCAAAAAAGGAAAAAAUAAAAAGUAACAAAGUAAGAAAAUAAAAAAUUAGCGAAUCAAAAAAAUAUAAAAAGACAAAAUGAAUAAAAAUUUCAAAUAUAAAAUGGAAAAAACUUUUAGUUUAGAAUGUACAAAGAAAAAAAAUAACAAAUAGAGGAAAAAGAUAUAAAAUAUGAAAGAUGAAAAAUAAAAUUAAAGUUAAUAAAAAAUAUAAAGAAGAAAUAAAAAAAAGUGUGAACAAAAAAAUUUAAGAAAAAGCAAUAAAAAACGAAAAUACAAAAUAUAUAAAAUAAAAUUUGAGAAAAAAAUGAAAAAGAAGAAAAAAUAAAAAAAUGAAGAGGCAAAAAUAUGAAAGAAAACAAAAAGAAAAAAAUUUAUAGAAAAUUUUAAAACAAAGUGAACAAAAAAAAUGAAAGCACAUAAAAAAAAGAAAAAUUUAAAAGGAGAAAAAGUCAAUGAAAAAUGAUAAAAAUGCAAUAGAAAAUAACCAAGAAUGAUAAAAGAAAAAAAGAUAGAAAAAUAAAAAAUUCCAAAACUUUAUAAAAAUUUAUGAAACUAUAAAUAAAGAAAGAAAAUAAGAAAAAAAUUAGAGCAAAAGAAAAAAGAUAAAUAAAGCACAAAAAAGAAAAAGGUAAGAAAAUAAAAAGGACAAAAAUUGAAUAAAAAAUUCAAAAAUGAAAUGGAAUGACAAAAUGAAAAAAAAUUAGUUUAAAAAAUACAAAAAAUUGAAAAACAUAUAAGACCUAACAAUAUAAAAAGUCAGCCAAAAAAUUAAAAAGAGAAAAGUUAAUGCAAAAUAAAAAAAAAAGUAUGAGAAUUUAAAAACGCAAAUAAAAAAUGAAAGGAAAUUUGUGAAAAAAAAAAAAAAAAGCAAGAAAAAAAUGAAGACAUAAGAUUUGGAAUAAAAAACAGAAAAAUAAAAAUUUUAAAACAACGAAAAAACAAAAACAAGUAAAAAUGAAAGCAUAUGAAAAAAAAAAAAGCAAAAAAGAGAAUUUGUGAGGAAAAAGUAUUAAAAAUUACAAGUAGAAAAAAUGCAAAAAAAAUAAGAAAUAAAAGAAUUCAAAAAAUAAAAAUAAAAAAUUUUGAACUUUAUAAAAAUUUUUAAAAUAAAAUAAAAAAACAAAAGCAGAAGUACAAGUAGAAAUAAAAAAUUAGGCGAAUCAAAAAAAAUAUAAAAGACAAAAUGAAUAAAAAUUUCAAUUAUAAAAUGGAAAAAACUUUUUAGUUUAGAAUGUACAAAGAAAAAAAAUAACAAAUAGAGGAAAAAGAUAUAAAAUAUGAAAGAUGAAAAAUAAAAUUAAAGUUAAUAAAAAAUAUAAAAUAUAAAGAAGAAAUAAAAAAAAAGUCUGAACAAAAAAAUUUAAGAAAAAAAUAAAAACGAAAAUACAAAAUAUAUAAAAUAAAAUUUGAGAAAAAAAUGAAAAAGAAGAAAAAAAUAAAAAAUGAAGAGGCAAAAAUAUGAAAGAAAACAAAAAGAAAAAAAUUUAUAGAAAAUUUUAAAACAAAGAAAAAAGUGAACAAAAAAAAAUGAAAGCACAUAAAAAAAAAAGAAAAAUUUGAAAGGAGAAAAAGUUAACGAAAAAUUAUAAAAAUGCAAUAGAAAAUAACCAAGAAUGAUAAAAGAAAAAAAGAUAGAAAAAUAAAAAAUUCCAAAACUUUAUAAAAAUUUAUGAAACUAUAAAUAAAGAAAGAAAAUAAAAAAUAAAAUAA
rnacentral:lncRNA from 1 species